CGCGUAGGCGGCUUCCUAAGGGGGCGGUGAAAGCCCGGGGCUCAACCCCGGGUCGGCCGUGCCGACUGGGAGGCUGGAGCACUGUAGAGGCGGGUGGAAUUCCGGGUGUAGCGGUGGAAUGCGUAGAGAUCCGGAAGAACACCGGUGGCGAAGGCGGCCCGCUGGGCAGUGGCUGACGCUGAGGCGCGACAGCGUGGGGAGCAAACAGGAUUAGAUACCCUGGUAGUCCACGCCGUAAACGAUGGGCACUAGGUGCCUGGGGGAGCGACCCUCCGGGUGCCGGCGCUAACGCAUUAAGUGCCCCGCCUGGGGAGUACGGCCGCAAGGCUGAA
rnacentral:rRNA from 1 species